GACUGCGUAGUUCAACGGAUAGAAUAGGAGUUUGUCGAAUGCGACUCCAACUAAACUCUAGAUAUGGCCGGGUUCGCGCUCGAAUUCGAUUCCCGUCGCGGUCA
rnacentral:tRNA from 2 species